rnacentral:rRNA from 1 species
AGUGAACGCUGGCGGUAGGCCUAACACAUGCAAGUCGAACGGCAGCACAGUAAGAGCUUGCUCUUACGGGUGGCGAGUGGCGGACGGGUGAGGAAUAUAUCGGAAUCUACUUUUUCGUGGGGGAUAACGUAGGGAAACUUACGCCAAUACCGCAUACGACCUACGGGUGAAAGCAGGGGAUCUUCGGACCUUGCGCGAUUCAAUGAGCCGAUGUCGGAUUAGCUAGUUGGCGGGGUAAAGGCCCACCAAGGCGACGCUCCGUAGCUGGUCUGAGAGGAUGAUCAGCCACACUGGAACUGAGACACGGUCCAGACUCCUACGGGAGGCAGCAGUGGGGAAUAUUGGACAAUGGGCGCAAGCCUGAUCCAGCCAUACCGCGUGGGUGAAGAAGGCCUUCGGGUUGUAAAGCCCUUUUGUUGGGAAAGAAAAGCAGCAGGUUAAUACCCCGCUGUUCUGACGGUACCCAAAGAAUAAGCACCGGCUAACUUCGUG